UACAUUUUACGAAUAUUAUAAAUGCUUAUUUUUAUCCUGAGCCAAUUUCCAGAGGUAGUUCUGGAUUUUAGGGCUCACGGGGGGACUCCAUUGCUUUGGAAUGUGAGCUAACUUGUUUUAUGAUGCUGCUUGCGUUUUCUUUUACUCACUGCGUUGGUGUCAUUGUAAGAUAUCCUUGUCAUCUUCUACAAAUUUACCAAGAGUUGCAAACUGAGGGAGGGUUUGAAUAUCAUUCCUCCACAACGACUUUUGCUGCCUUGCGAGGCUACUACCGGGGAUUUCCGACUUGUCGAGAGAGAAAUUGAAAAGGCAUUACAAGUGGCUGUUGAAUCACAUGCUAUAACUCUUGGUCAAGUUUGGGUCACUUUUGAGAAUCUUCAUCGUAAGAAGAGACGGCGUUAUUAGGCAAACUUAAAUCUCAUUUUGUUGCUAGUCCCCAUGGGUCGUUGUUUGUUAAAUAGGUUGCAGUCAUGCAUGAUCUGCGCUUGAUACACACCGACUUGAAGCCAGAGGAGAACAUUCUUCUAGUGUCCCUAGAAUAUAUCAAAGUGCCUGAUUACAAGGUUGGAACAUUCUUCAUGCUAUUUAGAGCUAACAAAAUGGACUGUUGGGUAAUGGGUCAAAGUGGGCCCAUGUUAAAAUUGUUAUUUUCACGAGUGGGUAGACCCCGAAGCAUGGUUUUGGAAGUUCAUUUUUUUGUUGAUAAUGUACUUUUUUAUUAAAACUAGAACUACGACCCGCCGCAAUGCGGCGGGGAUUCUUUAGUUAUAACUAAAUCGAUUUAUGACGCGC
rnacentral:lncRNA from 1 species